GAUGAACGCUGGCGGCGUGCUUAACACAUGCCAGUCGAACGGAAAGGCCCAAGCUUGCUUGGGUCCUCGAGUGGCGAACGGGUGAGUAACACGUGGGCGAUCUGCCCUGCACUUCGGGAUAAGCCUGGGAAACUGGGUCUAAUACCGGAUAGGACCACUUCUUGGAUGUUGUGGUGGAAAGUUUUUUCGUUGUGGGAUGAGCUCGCGGCCUAUCAGCUUGUUGGUGGGGUAAUGGCCUACCAAGGCGUCGACGGGUAGCCGGCCGGAGAGGGUGUACGGCCACAUUGGGACUGAGAGACGGCCCAGACUCCUACGGGAGGCAGCAGUGGGGAAGAUUGAACAAGGGGCGCAAGCCUGAUGCAGCGACGCCGCGGGGGGGAGGACGGCCUUCGGGUUGUAAACGCCUUUCGCUAGGGACGAAGCGUUUUGUGACGGUACCUGGAGAAGAAGCACCGGCUAACUACGUG
rnacentral:rRNA from 1 species